rnacentral:misc_RNA from 1 species
GUUUCUAGCACCGGCAGGGGUUCCCUCUAAACGCAUACAAAGGAGAAAUUGAAAACCAAUUAAUGGAAUUUUCAUAAUAUGGCCACCAAUGUCCUGAAGGCCACACAUUCUAUCCUGAAGUUGAUUCUCCUCAGGGGAAACUACUAAGCCACUGUUCCAGUCAAGAUACCUUAUAGUCGCAGAAGAGGAACUAACUUCUCUUGUCUGAGAAUUUCGAUGAAUCACUGGAUUUGACCA